rnacentral:pre_miRNA from 1 species
UUGUGCUGUUGGUCUCAGGAGACAGGCUUCUGGGAAAUUUCCACCAUGGUCUGUACCCCUCCUCCUUACCCUUGUCUCUGUCUGCACAGAUGA